AGAGAUUGCAAUGAGGAUGACAAAGCUCCCUCUUCUGAGAUUUUAAGUUGAGGAAGUACGCUGGCAGAAUCGAACCUAAAACUCUUGAAGCCACUACUGAGUAA